rnacentral:lncRNA from 1 species
GUGCCACCUCCAAAGAGCCGUACGUCCACUGCCAGAAGCUACAUCGGCAGUAAUCAUUCAUCCCUGGGGUCCAUGUCUCCUUCCAACAUGGAAGGAUAUUCCAAGACUCAGUAUAACCAAGUACCAAGUGAAGACUUUGAACGCACUCCUCAGAGUCCGACUCUCCCACCUGCUAAGUUCAAGUACCCUUACAAGACUGAUGGAAUUACAGUUGUAUAAAUAUGGACUACUGAAGAAUCUGAAGUAUUGUAUUAUUUGACUUUAUUUUAGGCCUCUAGUAAAGACUUAAAUGUUUUUUAAAAAAAGCACAAGGCACAGAGAUUAGAGCAGCUGUAAGAACACAUCUACUUUAUGCAAUGGCAUUAGACAUGUAAGUCAGAUGUCAUGUCAAAAUUAGUACGAGCCAAAUUCUUUGUUAAAAAACCCUAUGUAUAGUGACACUGAUAGUUAAAAGAUGUUUUAUUAUAUUUUCAAUAACUACCACUAACAAAUUUUUAACUUUUCAUAUGCAUAUUCUGAUAUGUGGUCUUUUAGGAAAAGUAUGGUUAAUAGUUGAUUUUUCAAAGGAAAUUUUAAAAUUCUUACGUUCUGUUUAAUGUUUUUGCUAUUUAGUUAAAUACAUUGAAGGGAAAUACCCGUUCUUUUCCCCUUUUAUGCACACAACAGAAACACGCGUUGUCAUGCCUCAAACUAUUUUUUAUUUGCAACUACAUGAUUUCACACAAUUCUCUUAAACAACGACAUAAAAUAGAUUUCCUUGUAUAUAAAUAACUUACAUACGCUCCAUAAAGUAAAUUCUCAAAGGUGCUAGAACAAAUCGUCCACUUCUACAGUGUUCUCGUAUCCAACAGAGUUGAUGCACAAUAUAUAAAUACUCAAGUCCAAUAUUAAAAACUUAGGCACUUGACUAACUUUAAUAAAAUUUCUCAAACU